rnacentral:rRNA from 1 species
CCUACGGGUGGCAGCAGUGGGGAAUAUUGCACAAUGGGGGAAACCCUGAUGCAGCGAUGCCGCGUGGAGGAAGAAGGUUUUCGGAUUGUAAACUCCUUUUAUCAGGGACGAUAAUGACGGUACCUGAAGAAAAAGCUCCGACUAACUACGUGCCAGCAGCCGCGGUAAUACGUAGGGGGCAAGCGUUAUCCGGAAUUACUGGGUGUAAAGGGAGCGUAGACGGUUAAGUAAGUCUGGAGUGAAAGGCCGGGGCCCAACCCCGGGACUGCUCUGGAAACUAUUGAACUUGAGUGCAGGAGAGGUAAGCGGAAUUCCUAGUGUAGCGGUGAAAUGCGUAGAUAUUAGGAGGAACACCAGUGGCGAAGGCGGCUUACUGGACUGUAACUGACGUUGAGGCUCGAAAGCGUGGGGAGCAAACAGGAUUAGAUACCCUUGUAGUC